AUGGGCUGCAAAUCCAGAUCUCAUCACAGGGAGACCAGAGAGACAGUGACUGGGUAUCCUGAAAAAUGCCUUUCAUUUCAUGAUAAGAAAACCAAAGAGAACUACCUGUGUUGGGCACCAGUGUGUACCCAACAAGCAGGGAUGCAGGAGGCAACGCUUGCUUUUCUACACUCAGCAGGCAUGUUUAGGGUGGAAGCGUAUCUCCAUUUGACUUCGUGCUGCCUGUUGCCAUGGCCUUGUCCUGAAAUGUGAC
rnacentral:lncRNA from 12 species